AUGUCGUAACAAGGUUUCCGUAGGUGAACCUGCGGAAGGAUCAUUACCGAAGUACAGGCCCCUUCGGGGGCUACACUUCCACCCUUUGUUUACCACACACGUUGCUUUGGCGGGCCGCCUAGCUACUGGCUUCGGCUGGUAAGUGCCCGCCGGAGAACCCCAAACCCAAACCAUUUUACCGUGUCGUCUGAAUACAAGUUUAAAUAUUUAAAA
rnacentral:misc_RNA from 1 species